ensembl:lncRNA
CCCAUCUAUGCCCUUUCCCAGCCAUUCUUGCUCCUCCGGUUCUGCCGGUGCUGCGAGCUGAGAGGUGAGGACGCACCCGAAGGAUACAAACGCUCCUCAGUAUCCCUGCAGAAAGCUGUUUUGGUUUGGGCCCAAAGAGAAGUUGAAUGUAGGAACACCGGGUUCCUAUAUAUAGAAGUGCGUUCGGGCCGGCUGCUCCAAGAGCCGACGUUGGCGUGACAGCACAGCUGCACGGAGCCCAAACAAAGCAUUCGUUCCUGUCAGAAAUGAGAAUGUUGCCUACGUUGGAAGAAAGACAAGAUUUCUCCCCCCCCCCCCCCUUCCCCCCCAAAAAUGAUGGAAGUCAGACACGGCAGAGGUCAGGCAGGGGCUGCCGGGCAGCAGGGUCAGCUCCAACAUCAGCCCAUGGGGUUUUCCUGCAGUGCCCGUUGCUGCUGAGAGCUGUGCUGUGCUGCAGGAAUGCGGCUCACCCGAACUACAGCAAAGCUGCUGCUGUUGCAUCAGAUCAGCUUUCCCAUGGAUGAGCUGGCUGGAAGGAAGAUAUAAAUCCUCCCUCUUCUAGUUGCAAGAGAAAGCAGGCAAGGAACUGGAAAACGAGCGAAAAGAAGAGCAGCAGCGAUCUCGGCUCAACACAUAGGCUCUGAAGAAGUCCUCUGUGGCUCACAGAGAAGUGAACUUAGAGGCACAGACAGGGAAUCGUGGCAUAUCAUAGAGUCAUAGAAGGGCCUGGGUUGCAAAGGACCACAAUGCUCAUCCAGUCCCAACCCCCUGCUAUGUGCAGGGUCGCCAACCAGCAGCCCAGGCUGCCCAGAGCCACAUCCAGCCUGGCCUUGAAUGCCUGCAGGGAUGGGGCAUCCACAGCCUCCUUGGGCAACCUGCUCCAGUGGUUGCGUUCAUCCCUUGAGAUGUGGCAUCCCCAGAACUGUCAUGCCAUACGAGGCGUGAUAAACCACACUGACACCACGCUUUGUCUUUCAGGAGAGCCCAGGAGAUGCAUAGAAGCCCUCCUGAGCUGUGCAGGAUGCAGGAGCCCAGGGGUUGGCUGCAGCCCGGAGAGCUCUGAAGGACCCAUCUCUUCUUCCCAGGCCUGGCCCGUCCGUUCCGCUUUCGUUCCGUUAUAAAUAACAACGUUUAGAUUUGCUGGAAUAAAGCUUUUCCUCCUGUUUCUAAUGGUGGUAAACAUCCUCUUGUGGGCUCCCCACGGGCUGCUGGCACUGUCCCUGCGCUGUCCUGACACCUCUCAGAGCCCUGACGUGGUGUGAAGGGCUGGGGUGGUAAUAUGGGACAGGCUGGGGGAUUUCUGAAUGCAACCCCACACCCGCGUGUGGGAGUUUGAGAAGAGAGGGCACAUAAAUGGGGGGAUUUGGGGCUUACUGAGGAAGAGAUGACGCGUAAACGUGGGUAUUUAGGUGGGAAUUUGGGUCUUAUUGAGGAAGAGAGGACGUAAAUGUGGGGAUUUGGGUCUUAUUUAGGAAGAGGAGACACAAAUGUGGAUAUUUAGGUGGGAAUUUUGGGUCUUAUGAGGAGACGAUGCAAAGAUGUGAAUAUUUAGGUGGGAAUUUGGGUGUUAUUUAGGAAGAGAACACACAAAUGUGGGAAUGUGGGUCGUAUUUAUGAAGAGAAGAUACACAAACGUGGAUAUUUAGGUGGAAAUUUGGGUCUUGCUUAGGAAGAGAACACACAAAUGUGGGAAUUUGGGUCUUAUUCAUGAAGAGAAGGUACACAAAUGUGGAUAUUUAGGUGAGAAUUUGGGUCUUGUUUAUGAAGAGAAUGCAUAAAUGGGGGAAUUUGGGUCUGUUUGUGAGGAGAGGGUACGAAAAUGUGG